UACGUAGGGGGCUAGCGUUGCUCGGAAUUACUGGGCGUAAAGCGCACGUAGGCGGCUUCUCAAGUCGGUGGUGAAAUCCUGGAGCUCAACUCCAGAACUGCCUUCGAUACUGGGAAGCUUGAGUCCGGGAGAGGUGAGUGGAACUGCGAGUGUAGAGGUGAAAUUCGUAGAUAUUCGGAAGAACACCAGUGGCGAAGGCGACUCACUGGACACGUAUUGACGCUGAGGUGCGAAAGCGUGGGGAGCAAACAGG
rnacentral:rRNA from 1 species